GACGAACGCUGGCGGCGUGCUUAACACAUGCAAGUCGAACGGAAAGGCCCUGCUUUUGUGGGGUGCUCGAGUGGCGAACGGGUGAGUAACACGUGAGUAACCUGCCCUUGACUUUGGGAUAACUUCAGGAAACUGGGGCUAAUACCGGAUAGGAGCUCCUGCUGCAUGGUGGGGGUUGGAAAGUUUCGGCGGUUGGGGAUGGACUCGCGGCUUAUCAGCUUGUUGGUGGGGUAGUGGCUUACCAAGGCUUUGACGGGUAGCCGGCCUGAGAGGGUGACCGGCCACAUUGGGACUGCGAUACGGCCCAGACGCCUACCGGAGGCAGCAGUGGGGAAUAUUGCAGAAUGGGCGGAAGCCUGAUGCAGCAACGCCGCGUGCGGGAUGACGGCCUUCGGGUUGUAAACCGCUUUCGCCUGUGACGAAGCGUGAGUGACGGUAAUGGGUAAAGAAGCACCGGCUAACUACGUG
rnacentral:rRNA from 1 species